CCUGGGGUGCCCUGAGUCAGCCUGGGGUGUCCUGUGUCAUCCUGUUGUGUCCUGGGUCAUCCUGGGGUGCCCUGAGUCAACCUGGGGUGUCCUGUGUCAUGCUGGGGUGUCCUGAGAGAGUCUGGCGUGUCCUGUGUCAGCCUGGGCUAUCCUGACAUCCUGGGGUGUCUCUUGUCAGCUGGCGGUUUCCUGACUCAGCCUGGGUUUUCCUGUGUCAGUCUGCAGAUUGCGGAGUCAUCCUGGUGUGUCUUGAGUCAGCCUGGGUUGUUUUUGUCAUCCUGGGGUGUCCUGUGUCAUCCUGUUGUGUCCUGUGUCAUACUGGGCUGCCCUGAGUCAUCCUGGGCUGUCCUGUAGCAUCCUCGGGUGUCCUGUGUCAGCCUGGUGUUUCUUGAGACAGUCUGCGGUGUCCUGAGCCACCCUAGGUGUCCAGAGUCAUCCUGGGGUGUCCUGUGUCAACAUCCGGUAUCCUGAGUCAGCCUCAUGUGUCGUGUGUCAUCCUUGGGUCUCCUGAGUCAGCCUAAGAUGUCCUGUGUAAGGCUGGGGUGUCCUGUGUCAGCCUGUUGUGUCCUGUCCCAGACUUGGGUGUCCAGUGUCAUCCUGGGGUCUCCUGAGUCAUCCUGGGGUCUCCUGGGUUAUCCUGGGGUCUCCUGGGUUAUCCUGGGGUCUCCUGAGUCAGCCGGGGGUGUCCUUUGUCAUCCUCAGGUGUGCUGAAUCAGCCAGGGGAAUCCUGAGACAUCCUUGUGUGUCCUGAGUCAUCCUGGGGUGUCCUGUUUCAGCCUGGGUUGUGCAGAGUCAUCUUGGGGUGUCCUGUGUCAGCAUGGGGUGAUCUGAUCCAUCUUCGGAUGUGCUGAGUCAUUCUGGGGUAUCAUGUGUCAUUCAGGAGUGUCCUGCAUCAGCCUGGGGAGUCCUGUGUCAUCCUGGGGUGUCCUGUGUUAGCGUGGUGUGUCUUGUGACAUCCUGGGUUGUCCUGAGUCAUGCUGGUGUCUCCUGAGUCAUCCUAGGAUUUCCUGCGUAAGACUGGGUGUCCUGUGUCAUCCUCGGUUUUCCUGUGUCUUCCCAGAGUGUCCAAUGCCAUCCUGGGAUGUCCUGAAUCAUCUUAUGUUGUCCUGACUCAGCCUGUGGUGUUCUGUGUCACUCUGGGGUGUCCUGUGUCAUCCUUGGUUGUCCUGAGUCAGCCUAAGAUGUCCUGUGUAUGCCUGGGUGUCCUGUGUCAUCCUGUUGUGUCCUGUACCAGACUUGGGUGUCCUGAGUCAUCCUGGGGUCUCCUGAGUCAUCCUGGGUUGUCCUUUGUCAUCCUGGGGUGUCCUGUGACAGCCUGGUGUGUCCUGAGUCAGCCUGGGGUGUCCUGAGACAUGCUGGGGUGUCCUUAGUCAGCCAGGAGUGUCAUGUGUCUCCCUAAGAUGUCCUUAAUCAGCCUGGGUUAUCCUCUGUCAUCCUGGGGUGUCCUGAGUCAUUCUGGGGUGUCCCGAGUCAGCCAGGAGUGUCGUGUGUCUCGCUGAGAUGUCCUUAAUCAGCCUGGGGUGUCCUCUGUCAUCCUGGGUUGUCCUGAGUCAUCUGGGGUUGUAGUGAGUCAGCCUGGGGAGUCCUGUGUCAGCAUGGGGUGUCCUGUGUCAUCGUGGGGUGUCCUGAGUCACCCUGGUGUGUCCUGUGUCAGCUGUGGUGUCCUGUGUCAGCCUGGGGUUUCCUGUGUCAUCCUGGAGUAUCCUGUGUCAGCCUGGGGUGUCCUGAGUCAUCCUGGGGAGUCCUGUGUCAUCCUGGGUUGUCCUGUGUCAGCCUGGGUUGUCUGAAUCAGGCUGGGGUGCCCUGAGCCAUCCUGGGCUGUCAUGUACCAGCCUCAGGUGUCCUAGGCCAUCCUGGUGUGUCCUGAGACAUCCUGGGGUGUCCUGUGUAAUCCUUCGGUGUCCUAAGUCAGCCUAGGGUGUCCUGAGUCAUUCUGGGAUGUCCUUUGUCAUCCUUGGGUGUUCUGUGACAGCCCGGUGUUUCCUGAGUCAUCCUGUGGUUUUCUGUCUAAUGUGGGCUGUCCUGUGUCAUCCUUGGGUGUCCUGUGCCAGUCUAGGGUGUCCUGUGUCAUCCUGGGGUGUCAUGUGUCAUCCUGGGGCAUCCUGAGUCAUCCUGGGGUGUCUGAGUCAGCCAUGGCUGUCCUGUGUCAUCCUCCAGUGUCCUGUAGCAUCCUCGGGUGUCCUGUGUCAGCCUGGUGUUUCUUGUGACAGUCUGCGGUGUCCUGAGCCACCCUAGGUGUCCAGAGUCAUCCUGGGGUGUCCUGUGUCAACAUCAGGUAUCCUGAGUCAGCCUGACGUGUCCUGUGUCAUCCAUGGGUCUCCUGAGUCAGCCUAAGAUGUCCUGUGUAAGGCUGGG
rnacentral:lncRNA from 1 species